rnacentral:lncRNA from 1 species
CGAGGUAAGAUCGCCGGCCCUGGAGCUCGGUCCUCUGGGCUCUGGGGCACGGACGCCUUUCGGGGAGGUAGCCCGCGGGGAGGGAGCUGAGUGGGAGUCGGAGUCCUUCGGGCCGCAUGAGGCUUGGGGCGCCCGGCGGCCGAGAAGAGCGGAUUCUUAGGUUCGUGGGGUUCGGGGCAGCGAGGGCUCCGCGCGCCGCAACCAUCACUGAGGGCUUGGGAGGUGCGUGGCACCGGCGUCUGCUUGGAUUGGAGACGAGGUUGGGCCGGAAGGAGACAGGCGCUGACUCCUGAGCCCCUUCCAGUCGCCCUCAGGUCCAGGGUGAUCCCCAGGCGAGGCCUAGCCCGGGUGCGCUAAUGUCUGGAGGCCGCGGCCGCGCUUGAGGGGUCGAGGACUGCCGCCGUCCCCUGGGUCCUGACUGUUCUCGGCGCUGACAUCUGCUCAGAACAGCCUACCCGCCCUCUGAAGUCCUGGGUCUGGCCCAGGAAUUAUGGAAUCCGAGCUGAGGCUGUGAGGCCGCGCCCCUUCCGGGAGGGUGGAAUUUUCUUUCUGGAACGGACACACAGCCUCUGGUGCAGUCGGGGUAGAAACUCUCCUAGCCGCAUCCAUCAGGAGCACUCCGCCGCGCAUCUUAUCCGAGACCAGGAGGUGUCAGGAAAACAAUGGAAAAAAAUCAACAUUCUUCGUUUGAAGGCUCAAAAACACCUGAAAGGACUUCUGAAAGGACCUGAGAACCCGGCUGCUGUAGUGGGCAGAGUUAGAAGGGCCUCAGAUCUGUCCAAAAGAUUCCAUUCCCCACAAGAGCAGGGACCAAAUUCUGCAUUUUUCCCAGGCCACUUUCAGUCAGUCCUACACCUCCCCCACCCCCAUCCCCAGCCAGGCAGUGACCUUGGGGUUUGAAGGCCUGGAGUCAAGUGAGUCUCGCUUGCUGCAGGGGUUUCUUUGCCCUGCACGGUGUAUGAUGAGUUUCAAUUAGGCAACAAGUCCUGGGUUCAAAUCCUGUUAGGCCACUGGUCAGCUGUGCAACGUGGCUUCAUUUCUUAAGGGAUUGUGGCAAGGAUUAAAUGAAAGAAAUUUAGUAUGUGCCUGCCAGUAGUGGACCCUUAAUAAAUGUGAACAGAUAUGGGGUUCCUUUCUUUUUGGUUGAACCAAUUCAUACCCCGAUACCCCCAGACUCUGUGCCUCAGGGGCUGAGACUGGGAUGCAGAAGAAUGUUUCACCUGCCUCUCUCCUGAUACCUCUCUGUAUCCCACAGGAGGGAAGGGGAAAUGGGUAUAUUUGCCCCCACAGUGUUCUUUGCUCAUUUUCUAAAGGCUCAGGGGACCCCUGACCCACCUCCCUGAUCCUCUUGACCUCUGUCUUUUGUACUUGCCUCACGAGGGAAGUUGCACCUGGUGUUGGCAAAGCAAGUUGCGCAGUGUGUGGCUAUGAGGCCGGUGGCAGCAGGUAGGCAGGACUGCUGCCCCAUUUCACAUGUGGUGGGGGACUGGCAGCCUCAGCAGCUUUACAUUACUCUCUGCUCUGCAGCACUGUCUCCUAGAGGUCCCACCCAAGCUUGACACCCAUGUUUCUACUCUAGCCUGCCCCCUCUACUCUGCCCCCUUCCCUCCCGGAAAAGCCCCUUGGAUAUCCAAUAGCAUCUCCAACUUCACUUGUUCAGAUGGAGCCCUGGAGCCCCAUCUGCACCACUGCUUCUCCCGCAGAUUCUCUGGCUUGCUAAGUGGCACCCUCCAUCCACCCAGUGCCGAAGGUGUCAUCCCAGAUCCUUCUCUCUCCUUCAUCUCCUGUAUCCACAAAAUACCAGGAAUCCGGCCACCCCUCACCAUCUUCAUGGUUACCAUCCUGGUGUACCCCUCAUGUGUUCCCUGCUGGCCUCACUCGCGGCAUACGGGAAUUCCCAGGCUAGGGGUCCCAUCGGAGCUACAGCUGCUGGCCUGCACCAGAGCCACAGCAACACAGGAUCUGAGCCACCUCUGUGAACUACACCACAGCUCAUGGCAACACCAGAUCCGUAACCCACUGAGUGAGGCCAGGGAUCAAACCUGCAUCCUCAUGGAUGCUAGUUGGGGUUGUUAACUGCUGAGCCAUGAUGGGAACUCCACCACAGAGAUCUUUAACAUAAAUCAAGUCUUCUCCUUUUCCUGCUCAAAACCCUCCAAUGGCUCCCCAUUUCACUCCAAAUAAAACUCAAAGUCCUUUCCUAUAAUGGCCUACAUAAGUGGCCCUUCACAACCUCCUUGACCUUGAUCUCUACCCCUCCCCCUAGCUUUCUACACCUGGACCGCUCUGAUCUACUUUUCUCAUCUUCAAACAUGCCAAGUGUUUUCCCACCUUUGGACUUCUCACUGGCUAUGCCCUCUGCCCAAAGCACUAUCUUGCAGCCAAGAAUGGUUUGGCUCAAUGUCAUCAAUUCAGAAAGGUCUCCCUGACCAUCCCAGUUCAAGCAGCAUACCCUUCUUCAGGGGCUCUGUCUCAUCAUCCACUUCAUUUUUUUCUAUAACCUUUAUUCCUAGCUGGAGUUACAUUUUACUGAUUUGUUAUCUGUCCCACCUCAGUAGAAUGUAAAUUGGAUGAUGGCAGAGAUCUUGUCUGUCUUGUUCCCUGCAGCUCUCCCUUAUGAGAAAGGCAAAUGAGAAAUAAGCAAACAAAGAGGUCUAUCAUGGCAAAUUGUUGUAAGUGGUGUAUAAGCAACCUACAGCAAUUGCUUCUUUGCGGGGAGGUGGGGGGGCACUUCAUUUUAUUUUCGAAUUUUUUUUGGCCACAUCUGUGACAUUUGGAAGUUCCUGGGCCAGGGAUCAAACCCAUGCCACAGCAGUGACCUGAGCCACUGCAGCGACAAUGGCAGAUCCUUAACCCACUGCGCCACAAGGGAACUCCCUGGGGUACUUGAACAUUUCAGGCUUAUAAGGCUGCACUACUGUAUUAUUAAAACAAAUGCCCUGAGCCAUUUUAGGGGUGAGGACAGGCCUGCAAAAGGCUGAUAACUUGCCCUGGGUCACACCCAGGAGUGAAACUCAACCUCAUACCCUAAAAAUAUUUACAUAACAAACUUUAUUGUUCUAGGGCCUGCAGUCAUGCUCUGGAAAGAGCCUGAUUUUGGAUCCUGAGGACCUCAGUGCUUUGCUCUUCUACUAACUAGCAAGCCCCCUUCAUUUUUUGGUAUUUCAUUUUCUUCACAGUUAGAGUGGCAUACAUCCUGUUAUUAUCAUGUCGCCUUCUCUCUCUCCUCUUCCUCCUUUUCCUCCCCUCCCCCCUUCCCCUUCAGUAAACUCCAAAGAUGCAGCAUUUCUAGGUGGAGCCCUCUGGCUGUCAGCACAUUCAGAUGUUCAAACCUAGGACUGAUGGAGUGGGAGCCAGAGGUCUCCCCAGUGGGCCCUAGAUCUUCUGGAUCUGAUUUUUUUUUUGGUCGUCAAUUCAUUUUUAAGCAAAUUCACUGAAGGCCUCUGAGACUCAGGCAGGAUGUUCCCUGGUAGCUCAGUGGGUUAAGGAUCCGGUGUUGUCACUGCUGUGGCUCUGGUCACUGCUGUGGCGUGGGUUCGAUCCCGGGCUUGGGAACUUCU